rnacentral:lncRNA from 1 species
CCGCUACUCCGUCACCGUCCCCUCCAUCGGCUGGCUUGGGGAUUUUCUCCUCCUUGCUCAUCCCUUAUUCGAAAAGCAAUGUCGUCCUUCAUAGCUCCUCAUUAAUCUUGGCUAGAUUUAGAUUGGCAUCGGUGAAAGACAACCUUAUCUUGGAGAUGGCGAUUGAAACCAUCCAAUCUGAUAUAUAGUCUCCUGAGAUAAGACGGCUGGGUCGGCCCGCGACACCAAAGAUGUGAAGCGGCUCCUAGAAGCUAGAAACAUAAGGGAAAAGGAUAAAUGAGACUCACAGUGGCCAUCGGAGACGAAAAAUCUAAGGUGAGGUGACUAGAGGAGAGAGAUAUGGUUCUUCAAUUGGAUGUCCGACGCGAAAGGCAUUGCUCCGACGCUGCCUCUCGAACAGAGCCAAAAAUCGUGUCGAGUAGCUCCCUGUAAUAUAUUCCUGUCCAAACAUGUUUCCUGAGUAGUCCCACCCGAUCGACUAUGCUGUACGCUGAUUCU